rnacentral:rRNA from 1 species
AGAGUUUGAUCAUGGCUCAGAUUGAACGCUGGCGGUAUGCUUAACACAUGCAAGUCGAGCGGUAACAGGCCUUCGGGCGCUGACGAGUGGCGGACGGGUGAGUAACGCGUAGGAAUCUGCCUCAUAGUGGGGGACAACGUGGGGAAACUCACGCUAAUACCGCAUACGCCCUACGGGGGAAAGCGGGGGAUCUUCGGACCUCGCGCUAUGAGAUGAGCCUGCGUUAGAUUAGCUAGUUGGUAGGGUAAAGGCCUACCAAGGCGACGAUCUAUAGCUGGGUCUGAGAGGACGAUCAGCCACACUGGGACUGAGACACGGCCCAGACUCCUACGGGAGGCAGCAGUGGGGAAUAUUGGACAAUGGGCGCAAGCCUGAUCCAGCAAUACCGCGUGUGUGAAGAAGGCCUUAGGGUUGUAAAGCACUUUCAAUUGGGAGGAAAACCUGCCGGUCAAUACCCGGUAGCUUGACAUUACCUUUAGAAGAAGCACCGGCUAACUCCGUG